AUGGCGCCGCAGCUCCGGCCAUGGGGCCGCCUCCUGGCGCUCGCGGCCCUCCUCGCGGUGGCCGCGGCGCAGUCGUCGCCCGCAGCGGCGCCGGCCACGCCCACGCCGGUGGCAGUGCCCACGGCGCCCGCCCAGUCCCCUCCCGCGCCGGCCACGCCCGCGCCCACUACCACCCCAGUCACUCCCGCGCCCACUGCCACCCCUGUUGCGCCCGCUAAGCCGCCCCCGGCUGUCGCGCCGGUCAAGCCGCCUCCGGUGGUCGCGCCCGUGUCCGCGCCACCGCCCGUCGUGACGCCUCCUCCCGUGACGCCACCGCCGGUGAAGGCGCCUCCUCCGGUGACACCGCCCCCGGUCUCGGCGCCCCCGCCAGCAACGCCACCCCCGGCGGCCGCCCCGGCCGAGGCACCCGCGGUGCUCCCCCCAGUGGCGACGCCCCCGCCCGUGGCCGAGGCGCCCGCGGUGCUGCCUCCGGCCGAGGCUCCGUCCAAGAGCAAGAACAAGCACAAGAGAAAGAGGAGCGGGAAGAAGAAGUCGCCCGCCCCCGCGCCGGAGCCGCUCAGCCCGCCGGCCCCCAUCGCGCCCGAGCCCACCACCGUCGAGGACGUGUCCGGCCCCGCACCCUCCGCCAACGAUCUGAGCGGGAGCGCCCGGCAGUACGCGCACUGGGGGAUCGUCGUGCAGACCGCCAUGGCCGCGCUUCUGCUAUCGCUAGCCUGGUGA
rnacentral:rRNA from 1 species